rnacentral:rRNA from 2 species
GAAGCGGCAACAGCUCAAAUUUGAAAUCUGGCGCAAGCCCGAGUUGUAAUUUGCAGAGGAUGCUUCGAGGCAGCGGCCGGUCUAAGUUCCUUGGAACAGGACGUCAUAGAGGGUGAGAAUCCCGUAUGUGAUUGGCUCGCACCUCACACGUAGCUCCUUCGACGAGUCGAGUUGUUUGGGAAUGCAGCUCUAAAUGGGAGGUAAAUGUCUUCUAAAGCUAAAUACCGGCCAGAGACCGAUAGCGCACAAGUAGAGUGAUCGAAAGAUGAAAAGCACUUUGGAAAGAGAGUUAAAAAGCACGUGAAAUUGUUAAAAGGGAAGGGCAUGCAACCAGACUUGUCGGUGGUGUUCCGCCGGUCUUCUGACCGGUCUACUCGCCGCUGGCAGGCCAACAUCGUCUGGGUGCGCCGGAUAAAGGUGUCGGGAAUGUGGCCCCUCGGGGUGUUAUAGCUCGACACACAAUACGGCGCCGCUCGGGCGAGGUCCGCGCUUCGGCUAGGAUGUUGGCGUAAUGGUUGUAUGCCGCCCGUCUUGAAACACGGACCAAGGAGUCUAACAUCUAUGCGAGUGUUCGGGUGUCAAACCCCUACGCGGAAUGAAAGUGAACGGAGGUGGGAACCGCAAGGUGCACCAUCGACCGAUCCUGAUGUCUUCGGAUGGAUUUGAGUAAGAGCAUAGCUGUUGGGACCCGAAAGAUGGUGAACUAUGCCUGAAUAGGGUGAAGCCAGAGGAAACUCUGGUGGA